UGGCGGCGUGCUUACACAUGCAAGUCGAACGAACCUUCGGGUUAGUGGCGGACGGGUGAGUAACGCGUGAGAAUCUGCCCUCAGGAGGGGGAUAACGGCUGGAAACGGCCGCUAAUACCCCAUAUGCCGAGAGGUGAAAUGAAUUUCGCCUGAGGAUGAGCUCGCGUCUGAUUAGCUAGUUGGUGUGGUAAAGGCUCACCAAGGCUUCGAUCAGUAGCUGGUCUGAGAGGAUGAUCAGCCACACUGGGACUGAGACACGGCCCAGACUCCUACGGGAGGCAGCAGUGGGGAAUUUUCCGCAAUGGGCGCAAGCCUGACGGAGCAACGCCGCGUGAGGGAUGAAGGCCUCUGGGCUGUAAACCUCUUUUAUCAAGGAAGAAGAUCUGACGGUACUUGAUGAAUAAGCCACGGCUAAUUCCGUGCCAGCAGCCGCGGUAAU
rnacentral:rRNA from 1 species